UAGGAAGUAGCUCAGUGGAAGAGCCAUUGAAUCUCUAUUCAAUAAGUCGCAGGUUCGAUUCCUGCCUUCCUAA
rnacentral:tRNA from 1 species